UUUGAGAACCCCUGGUAUAGGAUAUCACCAGGUCCAGUCAUCAGUGGCCCUGGGAAAACCAGAUGGAAUGUUGGUGUCCAAGAUUCUGUGGCAGUUGGAAAAAAUCUAUUUGAACUGUUGGGUAAUAUAAAGAAAAAUAAACAUCAGUAAUAGAAGCAUUCAUUUGGAGUUCAUCUGAGCAACAUAUUGCAUGCAGCUGUCUGAAGAGAGAAGAAAAAAUAAAGCUGAAUCAAAAAUUAGCGAUUGGGAAACAGACAACUUGGUACAGAGAAACAUCAGCUUAUCUGUGAACCACUCUGGCCAAGAAAUCUUGCAAAACAAGGCUCUCUCAGCUUCCAGUUUCAAAUAGACAAAGCAUUCUCCUCCACUUUCAGUUCUGAACUGUUGAAUAGCUUUGGAAUGGUUAGCUGUGGAUUAGCAGUGAGAAUUGCCCUUACCAAGGAUUUUAGUCAUUUUCCUGGCUGAAUCUCAGGUCUAUAACCCAUUCUUAUCCUCCUGGAACUAUGCUGCUUUUAAUGAUGUUUGUCACAUCUUCCUGCUUGGCUAUUGUAACUGUCCUCCUCCUGGUGCUUCUCCUCUCUCUGAUCAUUUCUACUGCAUCUGAAUAGGUAGGUCCUCCUUCUCCACUCUCCAUGGUGGUCCCUUUGGGCUCCAUCUUUGACCCUCUCCUCUCACUUUACUCCCUUUCUUUAGGUACACACAUCCAUUCACACAAUUUCAACCAUCAUCUUCAUGCUGGUGAUUGUCAAAUCUGCCUUUUUACUCCUGACUCCUCUUCUUCCAUCCAGUCCUGCUUUCAGCCUGAGAUCUCCUCCCGUGUAUCUUGUCAAUUUAACACAGCAAAAACUGAACACCUGAACUUUUCUCUAAAAUAGUCUCAGCUCACUGUAUUCUCUACAGCACCUUUUUUCUCACUGAAGCCCAAAGCCUAGAAGUCAUUUUUGACUCCACAGAAAAAAGCAGAAACCAUGUUUAGUGAAGAUGAAGCAUAGAGCUGAGUAUCAUCCAUACAGUGGUGGCAAUGCUUCAACCCAGUACAUCUCACAGUCUCUCCUAGCAGCCUCAAAUUCCUGUGGAGCAGGAUACAUGACCAGACUAAGUAAGCAGUGCCCUAUAGUUGAGGGUCCCUGAGGAGAUAGGGAAAUUGCUCAG